UACGGAGGGUGCAAGCGUUAUCCGGAUUCACUGGGUUUAAAGGGUGCGUAGGCGGGUAGGUAAGUCAGUGGUGAAAUCUUCGAGCUUAACUCGGAAACUGCCUUUGAUACUAUCUAUCUUGAAUAUUGUGGAGGUAAGCGGAAUAUGUCAUGUAGCGGUGAAAUGCUUAGAUAUGACAUAGAACACCUAUUGCGAAGGCAGCUUACUACGCAUAUAUUGACGCUGAGGCACGAAAGCGUGGGGAUCAAUCAGG
rnacentral:rRNA from 1 species